UACGUAGGGGGCAAGCGUUGUCCGGAUUUAUUGGGCGUAAAGAGCGUGUAGGCGGCUAGAUAGGUCCGUUGUGAAAACUCGAGGCUCAACCUCGAGACGUCGAUGGAAACCAUCUGGCUAGAGUCCGGAAGAGGAGAGUGGAAUUCCUGGUGUAGCGGUGAAAUGCGCAGAUAUCAGGAGGAACACCGAUGGCGAAGGCAGAUCUCUGGGCCGUAACUGACGCUGAGGAGCGAAAGCGUGGGGAGCGAACAGG
rnacentral:rRNA from 1 species